rnacentral:misc_RNA from 1 species
AGCUAGAGGUAUUGCUAGGAUACAUACUGAGAAUGGUGGCAAGUUAGUCCACGGAAACGUCAAAUCCUCAAAUAUCUUUCUGAACUCUAAACAAUACGGUUGUGUAUCUGAUGUUGGUCUGUCAACAAUAAUGAGCUCGUUAGCUCAUCCAGUUGCACGUGCUGCUGGUUUUCGCGCUCCAGAAGUAACAGACACACGUAAAGCCACUCAACCUUCUGACGUGUACAGCUUUGGUGUGUUGCUAUUAGAGCUCUUGACAGGCAAGUCCCCCA